rnacentral:lncRNA from 1 species
UCGUUAACAAAAGAUUAUAAUAUUAGUUGGAGGUGACUUACUAAUUUCAAACUCAUAAUUAUUAGCCAAAACCUUCUUAGCUAGCUAAUUCUUCUAUAAAAACCGUUUGAGUCUCUUCUUUCAUCUCCACACACACCCAACAUAUAUAGCAUCCAGGUUAUUUGGUGAGCACCUUUUUUUUUUUAAGCAUAUUUGGUGAGUACCUUAAAGCAAAAUAUUGUGGUAAUUUAUUUUGGACAUAUACAUGUUCUAUAUUAUUUAAGUUCAUAUAGAUUGAUAUGUGUCAUUUUUCCUUCUACUCACUCUUUCAUAUUUUUAAGUCAAAGUUUGGAUUGAUAUGUUUUGGUUUAUGCGAUAUUAUAAGUUGAAAUCUGCUUAUGCAUCUUAGUUUUCUUAGUUCCUUUCUUAUUUAUAGCUUCUAUAUAAAAUUAAAGUCAUUUUAAACAAUCUAUGAGAAGUUGAAAGAAAAACAAAAAACUUUGACGGGAUCAAAUAUUUGACACCACGGUGUCAAUUUUUAUUUUUCCAAAUAGAUAAGGUUAAUAAAUGGGAUGGAAUCUCGACCCAUGCUUAUAUAAUGUAAUGUCCUUAUCAACUGAGUUAAACUCAUGGAGAUUUGAUAUUAUGAUAUCCUUGAUAAAUCUUUACCGCAUAUUCGUAUGAUAUCCACGUUGUCAAAAUCUUAUGAUAAAAAAAUAAUUUUUGUGAUGGCUAAUAAAUUCAAAUACAAAUUGAUUUUGAUAUUACACCAGUAUUCGACCCACUGAACUGCCUAAUAUGGUUCAGGGUCAGUUCUUGUAUCAAGUUGUUUAAGCUCCCUCCCGAUCGCAGUUGUGGGGAUCGAACCGUUGUCCUCCCUACCAAGUCCAACGUCAAUCACCACUAGACCAACUAAUGAUAUUUUUAAUUAUAAACAAAUGAAUCUUUACACUUUUUUUUUUGACAAAGAUCUUUACUUUUUCUUUUGUUGAUAAAUUAAGAAUGGAACAUUAUCAUAUACAUAGCUCGUGUCUUUGCAUGGAGAUACUACAAGUUCAUCUCUCUAAUUAACAUUUUGUUAAUUUCUUUGCAAAUCCAGAUACUAAAUUAACUAGAGGCAAGAGGUGGAAAAGUUGUAUAUUUGUCCAAAAUGAGGCUUAUGGUAAUUGCACUUGUGAUUGUGCUGCUAGCAAGCUCUUGUAAUGCAAAUGAUAAAAGAAAUUUAGUGUCCACAAUUUCUGAAAACCAGCAAGGCAUGAAAGGAGAUCACAAAGUCAUUAACCAGAAUAUUCAUCACCGGAUCCCGAUCCCUCAAAAGAGCUUCGACAAACCCGAUGGAUCUAGCCAGUUUGGUGUCACUGACGAUAACGAUCAUCAUUACAUCCCUCGUAAGGAUUA